rnacentral:rRNA from 1 species
UACAGAGGGUGCAAGCGUUAAUCGGAAUUACUGGGCGUAAAGCGUGCGUAGACGGUUAUGUAAGUCAGAUGUGAAAGCCCCGGGCUCAACCUGGGAAUUGCAUUUGAGACUGCAUAGCUAGGGUGCGGAAGAGGGAAGCGGAAUUUCCGGUGUAGCGGUGAAAUGCGUAGAUAUCGGAAGGAACAUCAGUGGCGAAAGCGGCUUCCUGGACCAGCACCGACGUUCAGGCACGAAAGCGUGGGGAGCAAACAGG